rnacentral:rRNA from 1 species
GACGAACGCUGGCGGCGCGCCUAACACAUGCAAGUCGAACGAGCGCGAGGAGUUUUACUUUCUCAAGCGAGUGGCGAACGGGUGAGUAACGCGUGAGGAACCUGCCUCAAAGAGGGGGACAACAUUUGGAAACGACUGCUAAUACCGCAUAAGCCUACGACCCUGCAUCGGGUCGCGGGAAAAGGAGCCAUCCGCUUUGAGAUGGCCCCGCGUCCGAUUAGCUAGUUGGUAGGGUAAUGGCCCACCAUGGCCACGAUCGGUAGCCGGACUGAGAGGUUGAACGGCCACACUGGGACUGAGACACGGCCCAGACUCCUACGGGAGGCAGCAGUGGGGAAUAUUGCACAAUGGGGGAAAGCCUGAUGCAGCGACGCCGCGUGGAGGAAGAAGGUCUUCGGAUUGUAAAGUCCUGUUGUUGAGGAAGAUAAUGACGGUACUCAACAAGGAAGUGACGGCUAACUACGUG